GGUGAAAGUACAGACUGAGUGCUUAAAAUCAUUCAGAAGAGAUGCUGUUUUUAUGUCAGUUUAUUAAAGAAGACCUGACAUGGAUGACUUCCAAAGAGAAACGACUGCUAAUACUUAUAUAAAUUCAUUACAGAAGGACCCUACCAGACUAUAUUUGAAUACGGCAUACCCAUGAAUUCUGGAACUUUUAUUUCUUAACCCAGUUUGGAGGAUAAGAGCUUACCAACUAUAAAUAUGCUGAGGUGAUGUAUUGCAAAAUAGCCAACAUACAACAAUUAAAGGAUAAUUGCAGCCUAUAUCCUGAUGAAGAUAUGGAUGACCCUCUGUCUGGUCAACAAUAGUUUAAAUAUGGAUGGGACAGUGAUGUGGCAGCUCUUCCCUGGCUCAUUCACUUCUUGCCUUCAUUUGUGAAAGGAAGAAAGACUGGAGAGGGUCAAUGUGCAACUGAAGCUACUGAUUGUGCUGUGUGAUGAGCAUCAAUCCAUGCUUUGAGGGGGAUGAAUCAGCACAGCCCUGCCUGCUCUGCGUUUGGAACAAAAGUUGCAUCCGGAAUUUUUGCAUCAUUCUGGACCAAAAAGCCAUUCCCUCCAUGAUGAAGACCACUGAUGCAGCCUUCCACUACUGUACAGUAAAACAACUACAGAACUAAAUACCAGGUUGGAACGUGUUUAAGAAAAAUGAAACGUCUUUUGAAUUGAAAUGUCUGUUUUGUUAUGGAAAAAUCUUUAGUAUUGUGAAGGAUAAGCAUUUCUGCUUGUCGAUAAGGUAAUUGCAUGUAUUUUAAUGUUCAAGUUUUGAGUAGGGUGGCUAAUUUUUUUAACUCUUAUUUGA